AUAACAACAUUACCAUUUGUAUUUAACAGUGUUCAGACAGUGCAAAACACACACACGUCUGUACAAGGUAGAACGUUUGAUUUGCACGUGCAUCUCCCCUUCAUACAUUGUGUUUUUUUGCAGGACCAGUACACAAGUUCCAGGAUUCCGACUGGGGCUGGAGGAAGUGACAUCCAGUCAAUCUCAAAGAAAUGCUCAACCUUGGACGACACUACAGAUAUCUUCUAGGCCUAAUCUAAUCUAACCUAGCCUGAGGGGUUUAUCGUAAUCUUGCAAGAUCAAAGAUUGAGCUGGACACCCCUGCACUGUAGUUACACGUCACAAAAUCAACAUUCUGUUGAUUCCUGUCUAUUCCAGGCUAGAUCUGACCUUGACUCAUACAUGCUGUGUCCAUGUUACAUGAUUAAUACACGUCUCUCACACCCAUAUUGAUAGCUUUCUCCUGAAGAGACAAACCAGGGCAAAUUUCACGGCCAGUCCAGUAAAAUAAAAUACAGUAAUCAUGUGUCAUAUGUUUAAAAUAAAGUAAAUUUGGUACGAA